UACGUAGGGGGCAAGCGUUGUCCGGAUUUAUUGGGCGUAAAGAGCGUGUAGGCGGCUUGGUAGGUCCGCUGUGAAAACUCGAGGCUCAACCUCGAGAUGUCGGCGGAAACCACUUGGCUAGAGUCCGGAAGAGGAGAGUGGAAUUCCUGGUGUAGCGGUGAAAUGCGCAGAUAUCAGGAGGAACACCAAUUGCGAAGGCAGCUCGCUGGGACGGCACUGACGCUGAGACGCGAAAGCGUGGGGAGCAAACAGG
rnacentral:rRNA from 1 species